rnacentral:misc_RNA from 1 species
GGUUGGCGUGAAUUUGUGACUCUCACUAGUCUCUUUGAUCAAGAUUCUGGAUUUCUCGUUCAGGAUACAGUCGUGUUUUCUGCAGAAGUCCUUAUCUUGAAGGAGUCGUCCAUCGUUCAAGAAUCGGUAGUUGAGGAUAUUGAGCUAGCAAAUGCUGGUGCUCAUCUGGACGAAGCUGGGAAAAGAAGUUCAUUUACUUGGAAGGUGGAGAAUUUCUUGUCCUUCAAAGAGAUAAUGGAAACACGGAAAAUAUUUAGCAAAUAUUUCCAAGCAGGUGGAUGUGAGCUUCGUAUUGGU